GGACUCUUGAAUUUUCCAAAACCUAUACUUGUUCAACUGAUUGGUAAAUAAUCACCUUUAAUAUCUUACAGAGAAAGAGCUAUUUGAGAAUGGAAAGAACAAGCUAGGAUACAACCAUAGAGGCAGAAGGAUGUAGGAAGAAGAGGAACGGGUGAAGUCUUGUGUCAUACAGGACUCGGUUUUUCUGUUUCCUGCUGGCUACCACGCUCCUCGUCACUUCCUUGACCCCCUUGAUAUCCAUUCUGCAAAAUCUUGUUUUCUGAAGGCAAAUUCUUUUUGGCUUUCCGACUACCUUCAACCUUCCAUAGAUCCCAAACUCGGGUUUUCGGUGGAGGAGUUGCCUCUGCAAUUGGAGCAACAAGUCCAGGCUUCCCAUCAUCAAUAACUUCAUCGAUCAAACCAUAUUCCUUAGCUUCCCAAGGAUUCAUAAAAUUAUCACGAUCUGUGUCGAAUUCAAUCUGCUGUAGUGGCUUUCCUGUUAUUCUAGAAAAAAUUUUGUUUAGCUUAAUCUUGUGAUAUGCCAUUUCUCGUAUCCGUAUGCUCAUCUCAGUUGCUUUUCCUCCAGCUGUUCCAAGAGGUUGAUGGAUCAUCACUCUUCCAUUGGGCAUGCAGAAUCGCUUUCCCUUGGAACCAGAAGCUAGAAGAAAUGCUCCCAUGGAUGCAGCCAGUCCCAGACAAACAGUUGAAACAUCAGCCUUGCACA
rnacentral:misc_RNA from 1 species